rnacentral:rRNA from 1 species
GACGUAGGGCGCGAGCGUUGUCCGGAUUUAUUGGGCGUAAAGAGCUCGUAGGCGGCUCAUUGCGUCAACCGUGAAAACCAGCAGCUCAACUGUUGGCUUGCGGUUGAUACGGGUGGGCUGGAGUUCGGUAGGGGAGACUGGAAUUCCUGGUGUAGCGGUGAAAUGCGCAGAUAUCAGGAGGAACACCCGUGGCGAAGGCGGCUCUCUGGGACGGUACUGACGCUGAGACGCGAAAGCGUGGGGAGCGAACAGG